CUAGCGCGGGUCUGGCGGAGCGCGGCGGCGCUCGGAGAUCGCGAGGCGAUCGGGAGCGGCUGGGCCCCCGGCGGCGCGCCCCUCGGCUGGGCCGGGAGCCGCGCCAGUCGGUGCCCCUAGCCGAGCGCGGUCCGCCUCCCUCCCAGCGAUCAGCCGUCCGGAGUGUGACCAGAGGGCAUGCCGGAUCCACCAGGGGCGCCGCCGCCUGCGUUCGCAGGCCGCGGGUGAAGAAGAAAGCACGGCCUCGCUCGGCCCGGAGCGAAGAGGUGACCCGGAGCGAAGAGGGGUCCCGGAGCGAAGAGGCGGUCAGAAGCGAAGAGGUGGCCCUAAGUGAAGAGGUGGCCCGGAGCGAGGAAAUGGCGGCAGCCGGGCUCAGCAUAAUCGUCACCCACAGCAACGAGAAGCACGAUCUUCAAGUUAUCCCGCAAGAAGGCUGUAGUGAACCAAUUGUCCAAGACCUGGCCCAGGUUGUUGAAGAGGCCACAGGGGUCCCGCUGCCUUUUCAGAAACUCAUAUUUAAGGGAAAAUCUCUGAAGGAAAUGGAGACGCCAUUGUCAGCACUUGGAAUACAAAAUGGUUGCCGGGUCAUGUUAAUUGGGAAAAAGAACAGUCCAGAGGAAGAAGUUGAAAUAAAGAAGUUGAAAGAUUUGGAGAAGUCUGUGGAGAAGAUAGCUGACCAACUGGAAGAGUUGAGUAAAGAGCUUACUGGAAUCCAGCAGGGUUUUCUGGCCAAGGAUUUGCAAGCUGAAGCUCUCUGCAAACUCGACAGGAGAGUAAAGGCCACAAUCGAGCAGUUUAUGAAGAUCUUGGAAGAGAUUGACACGCUAGUUCUGCCAGAAAAUUUCAAAGACAGUCGAAUGAAAAGGAAGGGUUUGGUGAAAAAGAUUCAGGCGUUCCUAGCUGCAUGUGAUACAGUGGAGCAGAGCAUCUGCCAGGAGAUGGAGCGACUGCAGGCCACAAACUUGGCCUUGGCUGACUGAGGUGAGGCGGAGAAGGUUGUGCUGCCUUGAAGAACAGCUCCACCAGCUCUGCACUCUCUGGAACAGAAGUUACGUGCUUUCCCCGGGGCUGCUGGGGACAACUGGCUGAUUGCAAGUUUUCCUUCUCUUAUACCUGCUCUCAGUGAACACUUGUCUGUGCAAUCUUAGCGCACCUGUCAGUUUCUUAUUCCGUUUGUGUAUAUCUGUGCUGUCCAGCAGCUCACCUUGUCUGGAGAGGGCCUCCUCUGCCCAAGUCUUCCCAGCUUUUUUGACCUUUGGAUGCUUUCUUUGGGCUGGUGAGAUCUCUCAUUUGUCCUGGGGUAGUUCUGGGUUUAUCAGCUAUCCUGUCUUCAGAUACAUGAGGCCUUUUUGCCCUUAUGAUCCCAUAGUCCCAUCUGUGUAAACCAGAAUCACCAGGAGGCUACAUCUGGUCAGGAAUGUUAGGAAUGGCUGAGAACAGGUGUUUGGCACACAGGUAGUCCAAGUAUCUCUCAUUGUGACAUAAUUCUGGAACAGCUGGCUGGGUUGUGGGUUCAUAGACCCUGUCUUCACCCCCCAGUGACCCUGACCAGUCACAGGCCGUGAGGUCUCAGGGGGCUGCUCCUGGACUGGGGCCUGUGGUUGAUCCAUGGGCUUCCUUGUCCCCAAGCAGAUCUCUAGGAGGUUACAGCCCAGAGUUGACUAAGUCUCUGCUCGAAACCGGGUCACAACCAUGGCUUAGGAGGGACAGAGAAGAGAGACAGAGUGAAUAAUAAAGCAGGCAGGUAGUGAGGGCCACCAUAAGGAGUUCCUUCAAAGGAACUCUCAGGAGUUCCUUCAAAGGCAUUUCUGUUAACCGUACCCUUCUGAGAUCUACAUGUCCUUCGAGUUCUUCGAGGCUGUUUUUGUCUGUUUUGUGGCCUUUUUUCCCUUCAUUGUUAUUUAAAAAAUAAAACAGUUUCUAUAUACAUCAGCAAGCAGAAGAGUGUUUAGACUUUUUUUUCCUUUUGGUAGAUGAAGUAUGGGAAGCAAAAGCCUUCUGAGGUUCUAGUCUAGUUAUGUUAUAAAGUUGAGAGUGGCCCUGUGUGCUGGAAUGCUUAAACAGGUCAGCGGCCAUCACCCCAUUUUUUCACACAGUGCCCAGGAGACAGGCUUCCAACAGGCCACUCUGAGGUCAACCUUCUUUGGCAGAGAGGGAGUCUGUGAAGUCCCAGGCAUUUAGGGCUGCGUGGGUGGGACUAGGACAAGGUGGUGGUUAGGGGUGGACAAGUGGACGAGGCUUGGUGCCCGGCCCGCCCACCCCCAGCUUUAAUCAGAGCAGUCCAGUAUUUCUCUGUUUCUAGGUAGUAGCUGUGUGGCCUUGAGCCCCAGCACGUUCCUGUGUGCCAGAUACCACUCUAAGUUCUUGAGGUGUAUUGGUCAUUUAAUCCUCACACAAUCUAGGAGGUAGACAGAUACUAUCCCUGUUUUAUAGAUGAGCUCAGGUAAUUUGCUCACGAUCACAGAGUAAGUGACAAAGCCAGGACACAAACUGGGUAGCUUGCGUCCGAGCCCAAGUCCUUAAUCUCUGCCAGUUUGCCUCCCAACUAACAUGGGGUUGCUCACACCCUCUCAUUUUCUCUUUUUCUUCUAUUUAUCUCCCAUGUUGGCCUCUGCAGCUCCCCUCCGGCCCUCUCCAGUUCAUUCUCCACAGAGCAGCUGAGUGAUCAUGAAGUACACAAAUUACCACGUCAGUCCCCUGCUUAAAAACCUCAGAGGCCAAGGCGACUCCUGUUCAUGCUUCAGAACGUAAACGUCUCUUCAUGGAGAAACCUCACCUACUACUGUCUGAGAACAUCAAGCCUCCAGGUGAUAUCCUGUCACAGUUUGUCAUGACUUUUUACGAUAAACAGUGUUUAUCAUGGUCUAUGAUGAUUUAUUUGUGGGAUUAUUUGAUUAAUAUUUGCCUUUAUGCUAGACUGUGAGUUCCUUGGGUUAAGGAGCUUCUUUGUCUUGUUAACAGUGUAUUUCAAGCAGAUUGUCUGGUUUAUAUUAGAUGCUCAAUAAAUAUUUGGAGAAUGAA